CCACUUUACAGCCCUUUUAGAUGUGACAGUAAAGGCAAGGAUUUGGGAUCCAAUGAAGUCAGGUGGCUAAGGUUAGGACAUGGCUCAAUGAGAACUUUAGAAAAGGGUUUGAAAUAGUCAGAAAGAUAAGAAAACCAUGUCCUGAUUUAUAAGGGGGCUAAGUGUCAUAUUUGAUUGAUUGAUUGAUUGAUUGGUUGGUUGGUUGUUUUCAUUCUGCUCUUAUCCAAGGUCACUGAAGCAGCCAUCAUCCCUGGCAAGCCCCCUCAAAGGCACGGAGGGAGAGAAAUAUGAAUCAAGAGUAAAAACGCAAAAAUACGAACAAUAUUUCAGCUGCUGAGUGGUUCUUGCGUACAUGUCACAGAAAGCAAGCCCACUAGACUUCGGAAUGUUAUCAAUUGUUUUAACAGUUUUCGCUUCGUGUUGCUGUUUGCCACCCUGGGCUCUUCGGGAAGGAAGGGCGAGGUAUAACUUCACUCAAGGUGCAUUAACAACAUUGGAGGGGUUUAAAACUCCAUAACAGAUCAAAAGAUGAAACUACUGGGAGGAAGUUGAAAAAGGCAGGAAUUGAAAAUCACAGCUGGAAUAAUAAUUGAUUUUCCAAACCAGGGCCAGGGUGCAAUGAAAUAAGAGUCCCUGCAGGCUUUGGCUUAUGGCAGACUAUAUUUCGAAGAGUGGUUCAGGUGGGAUUCAUCACAUACCAGCAAAAUCAAAUUGCACAAUCCAAGUUGAUUAACGCUCUUGUGCAACAAUCCUGUUCUCCACUACCAUCAGACUUCUUGCAAAGUGAUAAGAAAAUGCACUGUUAAAUGUGAGGUAGCACUUGCUUCACUCAAUAUCUUUUAACCUCCUUGCAAACCAAUCAGGAUGCAUGCUCAAUAAAUAGCUGAGGUUAUCUAAUCUCCCCACGAACUAA